rnacentral:rRNA from 1 species
GUGGGGAAUAUUAGGCAAUGGGCGAAAGCCUGACCUAGCAACGCCGCGUGAAGGAAGAAGGCCUUCGGGUUGUAAACUUCUUUUAUGAGGGACGAAGGACGUGACGGUACCUCAUGAAUAAGCCACGGCUAACUACGUGCCAGCAGCCGCGGUAAUACGUAGGUGGCGAGCGUUGUCCGGAUUUACUGGGUGUAAAGGGCGCGUAGGCGGACUGGCAAGUCAGAUGUGAAAUACAGGGGCUCAACCCCUGAACUGCAUUUGAAACUGUUGGUCUUGAGUAUCGGAGAGGCAAGCGGAAUUCCUAGUGUAGCGGUGAAAUGCGUAGAUAUUAGGAGGAACACCAGUGGCGAAGGCGGCUUGCUGGACGACAACUGACGCUGAGGCGCGAAAGCGUGGGGAGCAAACAGGAUUAGAUACCCCAGUAGUCC